rnacentral:misc_RNA from 1 species
GAUGAAGAACGUAGCGAAAUGCGAUAAGUAAUGUGAAUUGCAGAAUUCAGUGAAUCAUCGAAUCUUUGAACGCACAUUGCGCCCCUUGGUAUUCCGAGGGGCAUGCCUGUUCGAGCGUCAUUAUAACCCCUCAAGCUCGGCUUGGUGUUGGGGCCUGCCGCACGGGCAGCCCUUAAAAUCAGUGGCGGUGCCAUCUGGCUCUAAGCGUAGUAAUUCUUCUCGCUAUAGAGUCCCGGUGGAUGCUUGCCAUUAACCCCCAAUUUCAAUGGUUGACCUCGGAUCAGGUAGGGAUACCCGCUGAACUUAAGCAUAUCAUAAGCGGAGGA